CCUACGGGUGGCUGCAGUGGGGAAUAUUGGACAAUGGGGGGAACCCUGAUCCAGCCAUGCCGCGUGUGUGAAGAAGGCCCUCGGGUUGUAAAGCACUUUCAGUGAGGAAGAACGCCUGGUGGUUAAUACCCAUCAGGAAAGACAUCACUCACAGAAGAAGCACCGGCUAACUCCGUGCCAGCAGCCGCGGUAAUACGGAGGGUGCGAGCGUUAAUCGGAAUUACUGGGCGUAAAGCGCGCGUAGGUGGCUUGAUAAGCCGGUUGUGAAAGCCCCGGGCUCAACCUGGGAACGGCAUCCGGAACUGUCGAGCUAGAGUGCAGGAGAGGAAGGUAGAAUUCCCGGUGUAGCGGUGAAAUGCGUAGAGAUCGGGAGGAAUACCAGUGGCGAAGGCGGCCUUCUGGACUGACACUGACACUGAGGUGCGAAAGCGUGGGUAGCAAACAGGAUUAGAUACCCCGGUAGUC
rnacentral:rRNA from 1 species